rnacentral:rRNA from 1 species
CAGCGGGGAAUUUUCCGCAAUGGACGCAAGUCUGACGGAGCGACGCUGCGUGAAGGAUGACGGCCCGCGGGUUGUAAACUUCUUUUCUCGAAGAAGAAAUAAAUGAGGGUCUUCGAGGAAUAAGCAUCGGCUAACUCUGUGCCAGCAGCCGCGGUAAGAC